CCCCUCUUGCACCCACUCGUCCUUGUCAUUGCAACUCCGCAUAACCCUCAAUGUUCUUCCACCCCGCCCUCUGUGCUUGUGUACUUUCUAACGAUUCUUUCAUGUAACUCUUGAUGUUCUUCUGCUCUGCACUCUGUGCUUGUGUAGUUUCUAAUGAUUCUUCUGUAGACUGGCCGUGUGACCAUGCAUGGGACCAGGACCAAAUUUUUCCUCAGUCCCAUUCUCAAAUAUCUUAGUCCUGGUCCUAUAUAGUGUUUAUGAAAUCAGUCACUUUACAUGAUUUAUAUUAUAAUUCUAGUCCCAGAUCAUGUUUUAGUUAUAAAUUAUCAAUCCUGGUCCCAUUUGCUCUAUAUAGAUUGGCAGCGAUAGAUAGAUUAGCAACGGUAGAUAGCUUAGCAGCGAUAGAUAGCUUAGCAGCGAGGGAUAGCUUAGCAGCGAUAGAUAGAUUGGCAGCGGU
rnacentral:sRNA from 1 species